AUUGAACGCUGGCGGCAGGCCUAACACAUGCAAGUCGAGCGAGCGGCGGACGGGUGAGUAAUGCCUGGGAAUUGCCCAGUCUAAGGGGAUAACAGCGGGAAACGACUGCUAAUACCGCAUACGAGUAGAUUGCGAAGGUGGGGUUAGCUAGUUGGUGAGGUAAUGGCUCACCAAGGCGACGAUCCCUAGCUGGUCUGAGAGGAUGAUCAGCCACACUGGAACUGAGACACGGUCCAGACUCCUACGGGAGGCAGCAGUGGGGAAUAUUGCACAAUGGGGGAAACCCUGAUGCAGCCAUGCCGCGUGUGUGAAGAAGGCCUUCGGGUUGUAAAGCACUUUCAGCGAGGAGGCGUUACUCGCAGAAGAAGCACCGGCUAACUCCGUGCCAGCAGCCGCGGUAAUUC
rnacentral:rRNA from 1 species